rnacentral:rRNA from 1 species
AUUGAACGCUGGCGGCAGGCCUAACACAUGCAAGUCGAGCGGAUGAAGGGAGCUUGCUCCUGGAUUCAGCGGCGGACGGGUGAGUAAUGCCUAGGAAUCUGCCUGGUAGUGGGGGAUAACGUCCGGAAACGGGCGCUAAUACCGCAUACGUCCUGAGGGAGAAAGUGGGGGAUCUUCGGACCUCACGCUAUCAGAUGAGCCUAGGUCGGAUUAGCUAGUUGGUGGGGUAAAGGCCUACCAAGGCGACGAUCCGUAACUGGUCUGAGAGGAUGAUCAGUCACACGGGAACUGAGACACGGUCCAGACUUCUACGGGAGGCAGCAGUGGGGAAUAUUGGACAAGGGGCGAAAGCCUGAUCCAGCCAUGCCGCGUGUGAAGAAGGUCUUCGGAUUGUAAAGCACUUUAAGUUGGGAGGAAGGGCAGUAAGUUAAUACCUUGCUGUUUUGACGUUACCAACAGAAUAAGCACCGGCUAACUUCGUG